UGCUCUGUGGCUUCGUUGGUUAAAGCGCCGGUCUAGCGAAUACGGAGUCGUGGGUUCGAAUCCCACCAGAACAC
rnacentral:tRNA from 1 species